ACGAUACUGUGAAAUAUAUCAAAUCUUUCGUAAUUAUCCUAUCUUCUUUCCUUCGUUUCCACGUCUCGCUCGCACGCGCACUGGGCGGCGGCGGCGACUAUGCGGCGGGGGGCGACGACGGCCUCGUCAAGCGCAACAUCCGGAGGCGGCCACGACUCCCCGCCCGUCUUCAUCCCGCUUCCUCCCGUUUGUGGCCGAGCCCUCCCCGCGACACGCCGUCGCCGCCGCGCGCCUCGUAGAAGAGAGGGAGGCGGCCGUCGCACCGACCCCGCUCCACCCCCGCCUGAUUUCCUCGGCAUCGAUCGGGUUUGAUCCAUGGCGUCGAAGAGGAUCCUGAAGGAGUUGAAGGACCUGCAGAAGGAUCCGCCCACCUCCUGCAGCGCAAGUGGUGUAUGCUCCUGGUCUUGUGCGUCACGAUUGAUGGGUGGCACCGAAGAAUUAGCUCCGUCCACGUUGUUCUGUUGCACCGAAGAGUUAGGAUGAGGAUUGAUCGGAUGGGGGCUAUUUAUUUAUACAGGGAUUUGAUUGGAGUCAUGGACUGGAUGGAUUCCUUUUAUGCUCAGAGUGGUAUACCUGUGAAACAAAGGAGUAUGCCACCAAGGGAGACCCAUCCUUUCUUCCUGUUCCUUCAGAAAUAGUCGAUGAUGUAUUUCAGGUUUAAUGCCCUGAUCAGGUUGUAAACCCCAACUCCCCCAAUGAGAAGCCAAAGGAGGAUUGAUCGGGGCGAACAAGUAACCGACUUUAUCAGUCCCGAACCUCUGGAUCGCGAACAACACCACCAAAAUUCCCAGUGAUCCAAACUAUCUCAUCUGUGGAAAAUGCCACAUGUCAUUGUCAUGCAUGCACACCCUGUAUUCAUACGCACUAUGAAAUCAAUUAUGCAAUCUUUGUGAAUUCAUUUUCAGGACA